UUCCUUAUAGCUCAGUUGGUUAGAGCAUGGUGCUGAUAACACCGAGGUCACAGGUUUGAUUCCCGCAAGGGACA